rnacentral:lncRNA from 10 species
AAAGUACACACUGCUGCAUUUCCCCUGGCUCCAUAGUCCAAUAUAUCUGUCAAAGAAGGAAAUGAGGUUACUGUAAUGAUGACCCAACCAAUUCCUCUUCUUGGAACUCCCGGAAAUAAAGCUCACAGUUCAACAGUUUGCAGAAUCUCCCUUCCUCCUUUUGAAAACUGGAAUGGCCAGCUCUGAUAUCACUGUGGAGGACUGCCAGCCGGAGACCUCGCAGACAUGGAAAUUAACACCCAUCGGAAGUCAUAGCACCUGGAUCUUAGUCUUGGUUCUGCCCAUCUUACUGCUGCACAAAUGUUACUGCCCUAACAUGGAGGAUUACCAACUUAAUGAAAGGCUUAAAACUGCAGAGACAUUAUUUUCCUGAUAAAAUGGCAUAAUUGACUUCUAUGCCUUAUUUCUUUUAAUGUAUGCAAAUGAAUGGGAAAGUAGGAGUGGUUUAACUCUUCUGUAAAUCUAUUUGAACUCCUUUGGGGAAAGAUGUAAAUAAGCAGAGCUACAUGUUCAUUGUAAAGACACAGACGGGAUGUUAUCACCAUUAGUAAUAAUUUAAUUAUAUCAACUAAUUGUUAUUACCUUCUAAUGCAUUUAUGUAAAGACAAAUUUUGUCUUCUUGCUAGCUUUGCCAAUAAAACAAAAGAAUAAUGCUAUCCUAGCUGAUAAGAAUAAU